GAACUGAAGGACCAACCUCUAGAUAUAGUUAUCAUGUGAUUUGGUUCUUCUAUCAUGAGUCCUGAUAGAAUCGAGAUCAAGGUAAAUUCGUCAAACCUCAUAUCUAUCAUAUGAUAGAAUCAAUCAAUUCGAAUCCGAUGUAAAAUUCAAUAGAAACUCUUUUCUCUCUUUUACAGUGCCAUAGCCAUGAACUUUUGGACUCAAUCUCAUGAUCUACAUAGGAUUGUUCCUCUUUUACUAAGGACAAUAGAUUUCAUCUUGAUGUAAUUCAAUUUCUAUAAUGAACAUGCUGCAGCCAACAUACACCUCAAGACUCCAUAUGGCUAGGAGAUCGAGUUUUAGUGUAGUCAAACUACAGUACCCUCAAAGUGAACUGUCGAUGCACCUCAGAUCAGAGAACUAAACAUACAACUGCAGCUAUGAACAUGUCACUAACAAGAAGGUAGAUAUCCUUGUGACUGUUCGUAAAUGGUUAUGCUCAGUAUCCUUGUUCUUAACAAGCACCUGUACUUUCACUCCUAUGUCUCCACAUCGUAGAUUCAAAAUUCAUCUAUCCAAAAAAAGUGAUCAUACACCAAUCUUCUGGAUCGAUCAUCGUCUCCAUGAUAGUCCUAUGAUUGAGAGUAAUUUAUGAGUUAACUAAGAUUAGCACAUAUCUCAAAUUUUUAACUCUUGAGAAUAUGUGUUAUCUUACCUAUUAACCCAAUGGAUGAUUCACAGAUACUAUUAAACACAAUGUGAAUGAAAAUAAUCUAAUUUUAUUAAUAUCAAAAUUAAAUUAUAAAUUAUGUCCUAAAAGUAUUUUACAAGUAUCCGCCAAUCUGCCUCCUAAGGCAUACAUCUAACAAGCAAGAUAGAAGAGGAUAUCGGAUGUCCUCUGAAGCAUCAUAAGAGCCUUAUAGCUCUCAAGAUGGUCCAGUAGAUAUAAGAAGCCAUCAUAUAGCUCUACCUAUGAUAUCUUGAAUCGAGUUAAAAUUGGUUCCUCCAAAAUCUAUUAAGAAAAGGGAGGGUGCGAGUUAAAGCAGAGGUCAUCAUCUUGUCCCUGACCUUCUUGCAACACCUCCAAGCACUAAUCGAUUUUGCGAAUCCUUCACUCGAGAUCUACCUCUCGUUGGGAUGCAUCCAACCUCGAGGAAUAACCUAGGUCGAAUCUCCCCCGAAAGGCUCGAGUGAAUGUUCGCACCAAUCCUUGUUGGGAAUAGUGUCCCAAAGCCAAUCGUCAGUCUGUUGACGGUUGUGCUCAUUUUUAUAUUUGUACAUAAAUUAUGAAUUAAUAAAAAUUAUUUUGGUAUUUUUCAUCACAAAAUAUUUCAUCUUCUAAUGAACUCCUAUGUUGUGAUGAAGUCCUUAGGACUAUUUAAACUCGACAAAGGAGGAUUUGUCGUUUAGUCCUUAAAUCUAUUCGCGACCAAAUGAUACGUUGUUACCAAGGACGACAAUAUUUAUCAAGCAUAGGUCGUUGUGUGCCAUAUAGAUUGGUUGUCCUCUUAACCAAUGAGUGUGGAGACACUGGUAUGGCAUACAGGUGAGAUGUAAGGGUACAUCUGCACUGAACGUGACCAACUCCAGAGCUAUUUCUGUUGUCAAGAUUUGCUCCGAUGGAAUAUGGGUAUAAAUAUCCCUUCGACCUGAGACCGCCAUGGUGACUUGCAAACAACUCACUGUACUUAGGCACUAGACUACUUAAAUUUUUAAUUCAGUGACGGAAGACUGCUGGGUGUAGUCAAGUACUUGACUUGUCGGUGCGUGUGUCAAGAUGGGAUUGACCACUUCAGUUUAGGAGCUGUGUACAGUCGUGUUUCAAUUUAGUAAAACAUUGGCCAGGAUAGUCUUUGUGAGGAGUCACAGGACUGUUUGAGUUAAGCACGAUUCGGAUGAUCUGAUCAGAAUUGACAGUUUAACCCUGAGUCAUCCUAAACACAGGGGUCAAAAGGAUGAAUUAUAUAGUAAUCAUAUUCAUGUAGAUUUUGAGUGUUGUGAUUGUGACUCUUCGAUCUAUCUGGACGUCGGGUACCAUUGCUAGAUGGUCACUUCGAUUAGUACAGGAAUUGGUUCCUGUGCUACCGGCUUAGGUUCGAACCUGCGGGAUCACACACAUUAGAGGUUCCUAUCUGAUCUAAUGGCUGGUGUAGAAUCCUACAUGUUUGAGACUCAGUGAUCAAGAAUCAAGAUUCUCUGAUCAUAAGUUCCACACAUUAUGGGUACCAGGGUCAAGAGUCCCACUGGUUGGAACUUUNNNNNNNNNNNNNNNNNNNNAAUUUUAGAUCUAACUAAACAUGCAUUAUUUAGAUCUAAUCUAAAUAUUUUUAGAUCUGAUCAUUCUUUAAAUCACAUUUUUAUCAGAUCUGAUCUAAUUUAGAUUUAAGAUCCAAACAACCUGACUCUGAUACCAGUUAAAGGAUCGGAUAGCGCAGCGGAUCAGCUCGGAUCAGAUGCAGCGGAAUUCAAAAAUUUUUAAUCUGAUCCAGCAUGUGAGACUUAGAUCCAAAUCAAAAAAAUAGCAUAUUAAAUAAUAAAAAUCAGCAUAUAUAAAAGAUAAGAGGUGAUCUCAUCACAGUGCGCGGGUAGACGAUCUCUGCGAUUAAUGAUCCGAUGAUUUUUGAGAUUUGCUGUGGAGCCGCGCACGUACCCAGCCUCUACAAAUAUCCACUUGAGCUUGAUCUAGGAUGCCUUCUCUUCGAUCAAUCCACCUACUCCUAGAUGGAAUUGCAAGCUCCUUGAUUAGAUUCAAAUUUGAUUGUCGAUAGGACUCCGAUCAGCCCUUAAUCACAGCCUUUUUGACUCUUCGCGUAGAACUGAUGGCAUUCGACACCUUGAAUCCACCAGAUGGCUCGUCCAACACCUUUGGAUGUAGAAGAGGGAUAGAUAUCAGAGAUAGAAGAGGGAGGAGGCAUAGAAACGAGGAAGAAAGAUGUGAAAAAUGAUUUAUUGGCUAUAACCCCUUUGGUCGAUCAAAAAGAACCUCUUUUUAUAGGAAUAUAAUCAAAUCAGAUGCCUUAAAAUAGAAAAACUCUCCUAGAUCCACCCCAGUCUGAUUUCUCUCUUAUUUUGUCAUACAAAACCAAUGAGAAAUUUAGAUUGGUGUAGAGAUAGGAUAAGAUUGUUGUCACCUCAUUCUAAUCCACCUCUAAUUCGAUUCAAAUGGUUUAAAUUCGAAGUUGAAUUCAAAUCUGAAUUUGAAUUCAAAGGAGAUCAAAUCUUUUAUCCUCAUCCACUAGUGGAUGAGGCUUAUCCCUUUUUUCUUUUUUAUCUGAUUUGGAUGACACACACAUGGAUUCAAUCCAUGUGGGUGCACCCCAUCACAUGGCCGAACAACAUUGGGUGGCGCCAACAUUUGGCGCCCCCACAAACCUAACCUAAUUCGAUCAAAUUCAAACUUGGGUGAAUCAACAUUUGAACCCAAUUGGAGCUUGUACCAAAUUGAUUAAAUCCUAUCUAAUAGGAUACAAAAUUAAGGAGGAGAAAAUGAGUUUAACUAUGUGCUAGCAUGAUUUUCUUAAACCCAAAAUUAGGACUCAAUAGCUCCUAAUCCAAUCAAACUACACUUAGCCUAAUUGUGCAAUCCAAAACCAAAACCCUUGUUUGUGUGACCCCAUAGGUUUAAUUCUGUUUGGUAGUAAGAUUUGUUAUGAUCUUUAUUAUCAACGUCAUCGAAACUUUUUUUGAUGGAUCGAAACUCUUUUCAAUUUAGCCAAUUAGUAUUAUUGAUCAGCAAAAUAAUUGUAAUUAGUCCCACAAUCUACUAGUGACACCUAACAGUAUGUAGUGCAAUCCAGCAAAACUGAAGGACCAACCUCUAGAUAUAGUUAUCAUGUAAUUUGGUUCUUCUAUCGUGAGUCCUAAUAGAAUCGAGGUCAAGAUAAAUUCGUCAAACCUCAUAUCUAUCAUAUGAUAGAAUCAAUCAAUUCGAAUCCGAUGUAAAAUCUAAUAGAAACUCUUUUCUCUCUUUCACAGUGCCAUAGCCAUGAACUUUUGGACUCAAUCUCAUGAUCUACAUAGGAUUGUUCCUCUUUUACUAAGGUCAAUAGAUCCCAUCUUGAUGUAAUUCAAUUCUUAUAAUGAACAUACUGCAGCCAACAUACACCUCAAGACUCCAUAUGGCUAGG
rnacentral:lncRNA from 1 species